UCUCAGCCCCAACAGAAGGGAAAAUCCUUUUGCUUUUUCUUUAAAAAGUAAAAGAUUAAAACAAAUAGCGGGAUUUUGC
rnacentral:sRNA from 1 species